rnacentral:rRNA from 1 species
UACGAAGGGUGCAAGCGUUGUUCGGAUUUAUUGGGCGUAAAGCGCGCGCAGGCGGAUGGUUAAGUCAGGUGUGAAAUCUCGGAGCUCAACUCCGAAACUGCGCCUGAAACUGAUUAUCUAGAAUCUCGGAGAGGGAAGGGGAAUUUCACAUGUAGGGGUAAAAUCCGUAGAGAUGUGAAGGAACACCAGAGGCGAAGGCGCCUUCCUGGACGAGUAUUGACGCUGAGGCGCGAAAGCGUGGGGAGCAAACAGG